CAGAUACUCUCUCCAUUCAGAAUUACUUGUCACGGGAAUGAAUGUAUCUAGAUGUAUUUUAGUUCUAGAUACAUUCAUUACUAUCAAUUUCUGUGACAAGUAAUUCGGGACGGAGGAAGUAUAUG
rfam:Triticum aestivum genome assembly, contig: Triticum_aestivum_CS42_TGACv1_scaffold_577044_7BL